CCUACGGGUGGCAGCAGUGGGGGAUAUUGCACAAUGGGGGGAACCCUGAUGCAGCGACGCCGCGUGAGUGAAGGAGUAUUUCGGUGUGUAAAGCUCUAUCAGCAGGGAAGAAAGUGACGGUACCUGACUAAGGAGCCCCGGCUAACUACGUGCCAGGAGCCGCGGGAAUACGUAGGGGGCCAGCGGUAUCCGGAUUUACUGGGUGGAAAGGGGGCGUAGACGGCGCGGCAAGUCUGAAGUGAAAGGCAGGGGCUUAACCCCUGGACUGCUUUGGAAACUGCCAUGCUAGAGUGCUGGAGAGGUAAGUGGAAUUCCUAGUGUAGCGGUGAAAUGCGUAGAUAUUAGGAGGAACACCAGUGGCGAAGGCGGCUUACUGGACAGUAACUGACGUUGAGGCUCGAAAGCGUGGGGAGCAAACAGGAUUAGAUACCCGUGUAGUC
rnacentral:rRNA from 1 species